rnacentral:rRNA from 1 species
GUGCCAGCCGCCGCGGUAAUACAGAGGGUGCGAGCGUUGUCCGGAAUCACUGGGCGUAAAGGGCGCGUAGGUGGCGACCCAAGUCGAUGGUGAAAGCUCGCCGCUCAACGGCGAGUCGGCCACCGAUACUGGGUUGCUCGAGCACUGUAGAGGCUAAUGGAAUUCCGGGUGUAGCGGUGGAAUGCGUAGAGAUCCGGAAGAACACCGGUGGCGAAGGCGGUUAGCUGGGCAGUUGCUGACACUGAGGCGCGACAGCGUGGGGAGCAAACAGGAUUAGAAACCCCCGUAGUCC